rnacentral:tRNA from 1 species
GGCUCGCAGCUCGAUGGUUAGAGCACUGGUCUUCUGCUAAAUACCAGGGGUCCGCAGUUCGAUCCUCGCUGAGGGCCU